CAAUAGCGUAUAUUAAAGUUGUUGCAGUUAAAAAGCUCGUAGUUGGAUUUCUGGUAGGAGUGACCGUUCCGAACUUGAUUGUUCGUGUAUUGUGUUUUCUCCAGCCAUCCUUGUGGAGAACUUUUCUUGCAUUAAUUUGUAGGGAUUGGGACCCGCAUCGUUUACUGUGAAAAAAUUAGAGUGUUUAAAGCAGGCAAUCGCUUGAAUACAUUAGCAUGGAAUAAUAAGAUAGGACUUUGGUACUAUUUUGUUGGUUUGCAUACCAAAUUAAUGAUCAACAGGAACAGCUUGAGGAUAUUCGUAUGAACAUGUCAGAGGUGAAAUUCUUGGAUUUUGAUCAGACGAACUACUGCGAAAGCAUUUAUCAAGGAUGUUUUCAUUAA
rnacentral:rRNA from 1 species